AUCUCCCAGGUUGCAGUGCGGCCCGCAUCGGCGCACUGGGUUCCCUGUGACGGCGGAGACAUGGCGGCUGUGGGAGCUGCUCUUCCUCUUCGCUUUGAUGGGAAGGUGGUUCUGGUGACAGGAGCCGGAGGAGGUUUAGGAAGAACGUAUGCAUUGUUAUUUGCAGAAAGAGGAGCUUCUGUGGUUGUGAACGACCUUGGAGGUAACAUAAAAGGAGAAGGCAAAAGUUCCUCUGCUGCUGAUAGAGUGGUGGAAGAGAUAAGGGCUAAAGGCGGCAAAGCUGUGCCUAACUAUGAUUCUGUGGAAGAAGGUGAAAAGAUUGUACAGACUGCUCUGGAUACAUAUGGAAGAAUAGAUAUUGUUGUUAACAAUGCUGGGAUUUUAAGAGAUCAUUCCUUUGCAAGAAUAAGUGACUUGGAUUGGGAUUUAAUUCAAAGAGUUCAUUUGAGGGGCUCAUUCAAGGUCACAAGAGCUGCAUGGAAUCACAUGAAGAAUCAAAAGUAUGGCAGAAUUAUUAUGACUGCAUCAUCUUCUGGAGUAUAUGGCAAUUUUGGGCAAGCAAAUUACAGUGCUGCAAAACUUGGACUAUUGGGUCUUUCAAAUACACUAGCGAUUGAAGGUCAAAAAUAUAAUAUCCAGUGUAACACUAUUGCACCAACAGCUGGUUCCAGAUUGACUCAGACUGUUCUGCCUCAAGAAUUAGUGGAUGCUUUGAAACCUGAGUUUGUGGCUCCCUUGGUGAUUUGGUUAUGUCAUGAAAGUUGUCAAGAAAGUGGCAGUUUAUUUGAGGUCGGCGCUGGCUGGAUUGGGAAACUGCGUUGGGAACGAACAUUGGGUGCUAUUGUAAGACAGGAAGAUCAACAAAUGACACCUGAGGCAGUGCGUGACAGCUGGGACCAAAUUUGUGACUUCGAGAAUGCUACUAAACCCAAAAGCAACAAAGAAUCAAUUAGCAACCUUUAUGAAGUCCUGAACAAAUUAAACACAAAACGAGGAGUGUCAACAAAUCCUACUAGUGGCUCAAAACAAACAAGCACUUCAGGCAUCAAUCCAGCUGAAGCUGUAGGUAAAAAAAUUCCUUUCACUGAAUAUACCUACACCAAUCUGGAGCCUAUUCUGUAUGCUCUGGGAGUUGGCAUGACAACAAAGGACCCAGACCACUUGAAAUUCCUUUUUGAAAGAAACGAAGAAUUCUCCUGUUUGCCUACUUUUGGGGUAAUUCCUGCCCAAGGUUUCAUGAAUGGUGCUCUUGCAUCGAUUCCUGGACUGAACAUUGACUUCACAAAGGUGUUACAUGGUGAGCAAUAUUUGGAGAUGUACAAACCAGUACCAACUUCAGGGACACUGAAGUCGGAGGGUGUUAUUGCCGAUAUUCUUGAUAAAGGAUCAGGUGCUGUUAUACUACUUGAUGUUCAUACAUACAAUGGGAAAGACUUGGUCUGCUAUAAUCAGUUCUCUGUAUUUGCUGUGGGAGCUGGAGGCUUCGGUGGUAAAAGGACAUCGGAUAAAGUUAAGGUUACUAAGAAUCCUCCCAACAGACCUCCAGAUGCCAUCGUGAGUGACGUAACAAGUGUAGAUCAGGCUGUUCUAUACCGCCUGAAUGGAGACUGGAACCCCUUGCACAUUGAUCCAAAUUUUGCAGCUUUUGGAGGGUUCAAAAAACCAAUUCUGCAUGGGUUGUGUUCCAUGGGAUUUGCAGCACGGCAUGUCUUGAAACAGUUUGCAGAUAAUGAUGUGACAAAAUUCAAAGCUAUCAAGGUUCGUUUUGCAAAGCCGGUUAUUCCUGGACAAACACUAGAAACUGAAAUGUGGAAAAAUGGCAACCUUAUCCAUCUUCAGUCAAAGGUCAAAGAAAGUAAUGAGAUUGUCCUUGCAGGAGGCUAUGUUGUUCUGGAGGAAUCCAUUUAUAAAGCCAAAAGUAAUGACAUUGGCAUGAGAGAGGAGCUCCAAAGUGACCUUGUAUUUGCAGAAAUCAGUCGACGCAUUAAGGAUAUUGGCAAGGAGUUGGUGAAAAAGGUGAAUGCCAUCUUCCAGUGGGAUAUCACUAAAGAUGGGAAAACUGUUGGACAGUGGACUAUUGACUUGAAGAAUGGUUCUGGAGAACUGUACAAGGGAGCAGCACAGCAUCGGGCUGACACUGUCUUUACAGUCUCUGAUGAAGAUUUCAUUCAAGUAGUAUCAGGGAAACUUAAUCCCCAAAAGAAUUCUCAAGAUAAUUGAAUGUUUGAAUAUGCUAGAAAUCGGAAUGAAAAGCAAAGAGCUGGAGAAACUAGCGGCAUCUGUUGGAAAAGAAACAGAGCUAAUAUUUCAAGUUCCAGAGAAGCAUCAUAUUAGACUUGAAACGUUAACUGUUUCUGUUUUGCAGGCUUUCUUUGCAGGCAAGCUGAAAGUUACAGGGAACAUCAUGCUUAGCCAGAAACUUGAAAUGAUCCUCAAAGAUCAUGCAAAACUAUGAGAGAAGAUGAUCAUAAUUUCAGAGUACAGAAGUUUUGAUCAUGGAAUCAACUCAAAAGCUUUGAGCCAACAUCAUAAAAAUUGCUACUGUUUAAAAUUAUAUGAUUUUUAAAAUUUUGUUCGUUAUAUAGCUAACCAAAAUAAUCUUAAUUGCAAGCUAUCUUUUAUUUCUAUGGUGUAACAUUAUGACCAAAAAUCUCUAUCUUCAUCACAGUACCUUUUGCCUUAGCCUGGAAUGUAUCAUUGUUGUUUACUUUUAGACCAUAAAUGUCAACCCGUUCUUUAAUGCUCAUGAUUGUAAUUAUCUUUUUUUAAAAUAACAGCUUUGUUAUCCAAAAUGUCCCAUACAAACACUAAUUCAACCAUGUGGGCAUACGUUCCCUUGAAAACAUUGCCAUUCUUGAGGAGUGGAUAUUCUAAGAAGGUUAUUGAUUUAUAUCAAAAUUUGUGCCAGAUGCUGAAUUUGAAUACUCAGAAUGCAUUUAUUGUUAGUUGAAGUGUUGCUUUUAUAUUUUAGAUAAUUUUGUAAUUUGGAGAGAAAAAUUGCUGCUGCCUGCGUGUCUGUCUUCUCACUUUCCAAUUAGCAGAUUAAACCUAGUCAUCUUUCUCUUUGCAUGUUAAAGUUCAUGGAUAAUUUCAGAGGUUGGUUAUUUUCCUGAUGUGAAUGUACAAGUUGAAACUUGCAUAUACUAAAUUCAUUGGGAAUAAAUAAAUGAUACAGUCUUAAUAAAGUUCACACAUCAAG